rnacentral:pre_miRNA from 1 species
AGAGAAAAGGUGAGGGGGGAAGUGUUUAGAGCCGAUCUGAAUCGACUUUAUGUCACGCUUGCUCACACAAAUCACUCGUCUCACU